rnacentral:rRNA from 1 species
CAGUCUUAACGAUGGAUGUCUUGGUUCCUACAGCGAUGAAGGCCGCAGCAAAACGCGAUACGCAAUGAAAAUUGCAGCGACUGUGAAUCAUCUGAAUGCUGAAUGUAAACUACACUCAAAGGAGAGAAGUCUUUUUUACCCAAA